GGUGCGCCUAGCGUGGGCCCAUGGACGCGGGCACGGAAGGUGUCGAAGCGGCGAUGCGGCGCUGCUGCGGCGGCUCCGCGUCCGCCGCGGGCUGC
rnacentral:tRNA from 1 species